UACAGAGGUCCCAAGCGUUGUUCGGAUUCACUGGGCGUAAAGGGUGCGUAGGUGGUGAGGUAAGUUUGAUGUGAAAGCUCCGAGCUCAACUCGGAAAUGGCAUUGAAUACUAUCUUGCUGGAGGACUGGAGAGGAGACUGGAAUUUACGGUGUAGCGGUGAAAUGCGUAGAUAUCGUAAGGAAGACCAGUGGCGAAGGCGGGUCUCUGGACAGUUCCUGACGCUGAGGCACGAAGGCCAGGGGAGCAAACGGG
rnacentral:rRNA from 1 species